GCGGAGGAAAAGAAACUAACAAGGAUUCCCCUAGUAACGGCGAGUGAAGCGGGAAGAGCUCAAAUUUGAAAUCUGGCAGUCUUCGAUUGUCCGAGUUGUAAUCUAUAGAGGCGUUUUCCGUGCCGGACCGUGUCCAAGUCUCCUGGAAAGGAGUAUCAAAGAGGGUGAUAAUCCCGUACUUAACACGACCACCGGUGCUCUGUGAUACGUCUUCUACGAGUCGAGUUGUUUGGGAAUGCAGCUCAAAAUGGGUGGUGAAUUCCAUCUAAAGCUAAAUAUUGGCGAGAGACCGAUAGCGAACAAGUACCGUGAGGGAAAGAUGAAAAGCACUUUGGAAAGAGAGUUAAACAGUACGUGAAAUUGUUGAAAGGGAAACGAUUGAAGUCAGUCGUGUUCUUUGGAUUCAGCCAGUUCUGCUGGUCUACUUCCUUGGAACGGGUCAACAUCAGUUUUGUCCGGUGGAUAAAGGUAGUAGGAAUGUGACUUCUCCGGAAGUGUUAUAGCCUAUUAUCACAUACACUGGGUGAGACUGAGGACUGCAGCUCGCCUUUAUGGCCGGCCUUCGGGCACGUUCGAGCUUAGGAUGUUGACAUAA
rnacentral:rRNA from 1 species